GCUGAUGCGUUGUUGGGUAGGGGAGCGUUCUGUAAGCCUGCGAAGGUGACCUGUGAGGGUUGCUGGAGGUAUCAGAAGUGCGAAUGCUGACAUAAGUAACGAUAAAGCGGGUGAAAAGCCCGCUCGCCGGAAGACCAAGGGUUCCUGUCCAACGUUAAUCGGGGCAGGGUGAGUCGACCCCUAAGGCGAGGCCGAAAGGCGUAGUCGAUGGGAAACGGGUUAAUAUUCCCGUACUUGGUGUUACUGCGAAGGGGGGACGGAGAAGGCUAUGUUGGCCGGGCGACGGUUGUCCCGGUUUAAGCGUGUAGGUGUGUGUUCCAGGUAAAUCCGGUUCACUUUAACACUGAGGCGUGAUGACGAGGCACUACGGUGCUGAAGCAACAAAUGCCCUGCUUCCAGGAAAAGCCUCUAAGCAUCAGGUAACAUCAAAUCGUACCCCAAACCGACACAGGUGGUCAGGUAGAGAAUACCAAGGCGCUUGAGAGAACUCGGGUGAAGGAACUAGGCAAAAUGGUGCCGUAACUUCGGGAGAAGGCACGCUGACACGUAGGUGAAGUGAUUUACUCACGGAGCUGAAGUCAGUCGAAGAUACCAGCUGGCUGCAACUGUUUAUUAAAAACACAGCACUGUGCAAACACGAAAGUGGACGUAUACGGUGUGACGCCUGCCCGGUGCCGGAAGGUUAAUUGAUGGGGUCAGCGCAAGCGAAGCUCCUGAUCGAAGCCCCGGUAAACGGCGGCCGUAACUAUAACGGUCCUAAGGUAGCGAAAUUCCUUGUCGGGUAAGUUCCGACCUGCACGAAUGGCGUAAUGAUGGCCAGGCUGUCUCCACCCGAGACUCAGUGAAAUUGAACUCGCUGUGAAGAUGCAGUGUACCCGCGGCAAGACGGAAAGACCCCGUGAACCUUUACUAUAGCUUGACACUGAACAUUGAGCCUUGAUGUGUAGGAUAGGUGGGAGGCUUUGAAGUGUGGACGCCAGUCUGCAUGGAGCCGACCUUGAAAUACCACCCUUUAAUGUUUGAUGUUCUAACGUGGACCCGUAAUCCGGGUUGCGGACAGUGUCUGGUGGGUAGUUUGACUGGGGCGGUCUCCUCCUAAAGAGUAACGGAGGAGCACGAAGGUUGGCUAAUCCUGGUCGGACAUCAGGAGGUUAGUGCAAUGGCAUAAGCCAGCUUGACUGCGAGCGUGACGGCGCGAGCAGGUGCGAAAGCAGGUCAUAGUGAUCCGGUGGUUCUGAAUGGAAGGGCCAUCGCUCAACGGAUAAAAGGUACUCCGGGGAUAACAGGCUGAUACCGCCCAAGAGUUCAUAUCGACGGCGGUGUUUGGCACCUCGAUGUCGGCUCAUCACAUCCUGGGGCUGAAGUAGGUCCCAAGGGUAUGGCUGUUCGCCAUUUAAAGUGGUACGCGAGCUGGGUUUAGAACGUCGUGAGACAGUUCGGUCCCUAUCUGCCGUGGGCGCUGGAGAACUGAGGGGGGCUGCUCCUAGUACGAGAGGACCGGAGUGGACGCAUCACUGGUGUUCGGGUUGUCAUGCCAAUGGCACUGCCCGGUAGCUAAAUGCGGAAGAGAUAAGUGCUGAAAGCAUCUAAGCACGAAACUUGCCCCGAGAUGAGUUCUCCCUGAGACUUUAGGUCUCCUGAAGGAACGUUGAAGACGACGACGUUGAUAGGCCGGGUGUGUAAGCGCAGCGAUGCGUUGAGCUAACCGGUACUAAUGAACCGUGAGGCUUAACCUUACAACGCCGAAG
rnacentral:rRNA from 1 species